rnacentral:rRNA from 1 species
UACCCAUGUCUUUUGAGUACUUACGUUUCCUCGGCGGGUCCGCCCGCCGAUUGGACAAUUUAAACCAUUUGCAGUUGCAAUCAGCGUCUGAAAAACUUUAAUAGUUACAACUUUCAACAACGGAUCUCUUGGUUCUGGCAUCGAUGAAGAACGCAGCGAAAUGCGAUAAGUAGUGUGAAUUGCAGAAUUCAGUGAAUCAUCGAAUCUUUGAACGCACAUUGCGCCCCUUGGUAUUCCAUGGGGCAUGCCUGUUCGAGCGUCAUUUGUACCUUCAAGCUUUGCUUGGUGUUGGGUGUUUGUCUCGCCUUUGCGUGUAGACUCGCCUUAAAACAAUUGGCAGCCGGCGUAUUGAUUUCGGAGCGCAGUACAUCUCGCGCUUUGCACUCAUAACGACGACGUCCAAAAGUACAUUUUUACACUCUUGACCUCGGAUCAGGUAGGGAUACCCGCUGGACUUAAGCAUACCAAUAAGCGGAGGAAAAGAAACCAACAGGGAUUGCCCCAGUAACG